rnacentral:rRNA from 1 species
GCUCGAAAGAGAGCCGUAACACAGGUGCUGCAUGGCUGUCGUCAGCUCGUGUCGUGAGAUGUUGGGUUAAGUCCCGCAACGAGCGCAACCCUUGUCAUUAGUUGCUACAUUCAGUUGGGCACUCUAAUGAGACUGCCGGUGACAAGCCGGAGGAAGGUGGGGAUGACGUCAAGUCCUCAUGGCCCUUAUAGGUGGGGCUACACACGUCAUACAAUGGCUGGUACAAAGGGUUGCCAACCCGCGAGGGGGAGCCAAUCCCAUAAAGCCAGUCGUAGUCCGGAUCGUAGUCUGCAACUCGACUACGUGAAGUCGGAAUCGCUAGUAAUCGUGAAUCAGAAUGUCACGGUGAAUACGUUCCCGGGUCUU